UACAGAGGGUGCGAGCGUUAAUCGGAAUUACUGGGCGUAAAGAGCGCGUAGGCGGCCCUGUAAGUCCGCUGUGAAAGUCAAGGGCUCAACCCUUGGAUGCCGGUGGAUACUGCAGGGCUAGAGUCCGGAAGAGGCGAGUGGAAUUCCUGGUGUAGCGGUGAAAUGCGCAGAUAUCAGGAGGAACACCGAUGGCGAAGGCAGCUCGCUGGGACGGUAGCUGACGCUGAGGCGCCGAAAGCGUGGGGAGCAAACAGG
rnacentral:rRNA from 1 species